GCAGUGAACCUCGAGAACGAACCGAGUCCCAGAUUGGCCAGGCGGAGGUCCCACGCUGGCGUCACCACUCGAGGGACGAGGCGCCGCGCGGUCACGUGGAUAUCUGAAUUGCGCGUUAAUCACCUCAGUAAUUGAACACCGGUGUCAUUAGUUUGUGUAGUGGUCGUUAAUUGUACUUUGCAGUAGUGCAGGCAAAGGAAGCGUUAGACUCUCUAGCUUCCAUGGAGCUGACUUUGCCGUGGGUACUGAGCGCUGGCAGCAGGGAGUGUGGUGCUGGAGGCCUGGUGUUCCCUGUCUGAUUUACUCCGUGGCGACGCCGGACAGCAGUAGGAGCGAGACCCGUGAUGUUCCUCCAGCUUGCACAAUACAAAUGAUCGAGAUUGACAUUUUUCUAUCUGUUGAGCGGCAGACGGCGCGGACAGAAGGAAUGACAGAAACUCCUCGCCUCUUCUCUCCUGCAGCACAGCCAGGAGGACACUGGGGAAUAAAUCCUUCACCACGCAGCUUUAAUGUAAACCUUAAAAGGAUGCGUCGUAAUCUUUAUCCUGGAAUCCUAUCUUCGUCGUCUUUGUCCUCCUUGCCUCAGCCCAGACCAUCUAGUGUCUCUUGCUUCAGAUGAGGCUGUGCAGUUUGUCACAUAAAUAAGUUUACUGCUGUUUGUUGUUCUUGUUUCGUGAUUAUUUUGUUUCUUGUCCUUGCUCAUUCGUCUCCUUUUCCUUGUCCUCUUCUACCUUCUCCUCCUCCUCCUCGUGUGUGUGUGUGUGUGUGUGUGUUUAUUUUGGUUGUGUUUCUUUGUGUUUCUCUCCUCCAUCUCCUCCCACACACACACACACACACACACACACACACACACACACACACACACACCAGAUAUCGUAGGGGACUACAGAGGAAAGAAGGCUGAGGUGCAGAGGUGUGCAAGACUGUUUAUGUGGAAAUAAAUGGCAAGGUAGUGGGCGUCCCUGCGCGGACACUGGGGCUGGCCACUCCAGGGAGGUUGGAGGAUGCAGGAAAGUGUUUAGGGGUCGUACUUUCAAGACUCUUUUCUCAUCAGGACAGUUUUCAAAGGAAUUAGUUGGGUUUUCAUGGAUUUUUUUCUUGUAUUUUGUCACUAAUGUUAAAUUAUUGAGGAGCAAAAAAAGAAAUUGUUUUUAGAACGAGAGGAAAGACGAGAGAAGGAACACAAUAAAACAUAAGAGAAUAAAUUCAUAUGUUUGUGUAAUAAACUAUACUAUUUCAUCUGAAGUAAGUGUGUGCUUCCUCAGUGAUUGGUGCUUCACGUACGCCUCACGAUGAGGAAUAAAAAAGAAUUCCAAAUUAGAUUAAAAAA